AGACGGUUCACACGUGGCAGGCAGGCAGGAGGCAUGGAGGCUUGGGCUCAGAAGGAAAACAUGUAGACGCUGCUGCAAUUGCUGAGGACAGACGAUUCCCUGGUACCCGUGUGGGUCUGGACGCCUUCCAAGGGCUGCUGCUGCUGCUGCUAAGUCGCUUCAGUCGUGUCCGACUCUGUGAGACCCCAGAGACAGCAACAGAGAGUGAAGAGACGGAGCAGUUUAAGCCCAAAGCAGUGAUUCCAGGUCUGUAUCAUUCCUCCUAUAACUGCAACAGAAGAGCCUCAGAGUUGGUCCACGGGAUCCCCUCUGAAGCCAGCUCCCGUGUUGUGUUGCUGCGAGGACUUCCUUGCGUUCCUGUCAGCCCAGACCACCCAGGCUCACUGACUCGGAGGCGACAUUGACCCGUUAGAAACCUAGGUCUGCGUGCUCCGUGGAUUCACUGCUCAUAGGGUUUGUUAAGGUGCUUUCAGUGGACAGAGCUUGGUUGUUGUUGUUGUUUUUUUUCUGUUUUAUUCUGAAAACAAAACCAAAUCUUAAACCACAGAAUUCUUCCUCAUGUUUCUCUAUGGCUCUUAUUAACAUGUCAACUCAUUUGGGUGAUUCUAUCACAAAGCCAAAUAGGUUCAGAAUUAUUUUUAUGAUACCAAAUUAUCAGCAGAGUUAUUAAGUAAAAUUCAAGUUCUCUUUGGAAUUCUUUUCAUCUCUUUGUACAUCUAGUAAAGAUGUACAAAGUACUCAUUCAAAAGUUAGCUGAAUUAAUUUCUUUAAUAUAUGAUUACGCUGUUAUUUUGAUUGGAGGAGGAAGUGGCAACACACUCCAGUACUCUUGCCUGGAAAAUUCCACAGACAGAGGAGCCUGGUGGGCUACAGUCCAUGGGGGUCCCGCAGAGUCAGGAACGACUGAGAGACUAAGCAGAUACAUUACUUUGAUAUGCAUCUUGGUUAAUUUGCAACUACACUU